CUCCCUUUCAGCAGUUGUAUGUUCUAAAAUUACAGAAUAAGCCAGGUCAAUUGUUGCAGGUGAUGCAAGAUAAUCACAAAGAGUUCUAGAAGCGACGAAGGGGUUCAGGACGCUUCUUGAGAGAAGAGGAUCUCAACCUAGAACUCUAGAAGCACUACCAACGGCGGAAAGCUGGUGCAGCUGUAGCCGGGAACUGCCAGAACUGUUCCGAGACUGACUGAAGGUAGUAGACAUGGAAAGCAGUGAAGGAAUCCGUGUAAGCAGAG
rnacentral:misc_RNA from 1 species